CCUGCCACAACGGCUUCCUGGCGUGGCAAGGAUGGAACCAAUGGAGCA
rnacentral:ncRNA from 1 species